UACGUAGGGGGCAAGCGUUGUCCGGAUUUAUUGGGCGUAAAGCGCUCGCAGGCGGUCGAUCAAGUCGAGUGUGAAAGCCCCCGGCUCAACUGGGGAGGGUCAUUCGAUACUGAUCGACUCGAAGGCAGGAGAGGGUAGUGGAAUUCCCGGUGUAGUGGUGAAAUGCGUAGAUAUCGGGAGGAACACCAGUGGCGAAGGCGACUACCUGGCCUGUUCUUGACGCUGAGGCGCGAAAGCUAGGGGAGCAAACGGG
rnacentral:rRNA from 1 species